GAUGAACGCUGGCGGCGUGCCUAAUACAUGCAAGUCGAGCGAACAGACGAGGAGCUUGCUCCUUUGACGUUAGCGGCGGACGGGUGAGUAACACGUGGGUAACCUACCUAUAAGACUGGGAUAACUUCGGGAAACCGGAGCUAAUACCGGAUAAUAUUUCGAACCGCAUGGUUCGAUAGUGAAAGAUGGCUCUGCUAUCACUUAUAGAUGGACCUGCGCCGUAUUAGCUAGUUGGUAAGGUAACGGCUUACCAAGGCAACGAUACGUAGCCGACCUGAGAGGGUGAGCGGCCCCACUAGAACUGGGACACGGUCCAGACUCCUACGGGAGGCAGCAGUAGGGAAUCUUCCGCAAUGGGCGAAAGCCUGACGGAUCAACGCCGCGUGAGUGAUGAAGGUCUUCGGAUCGUAAAACUCUGUUAUUAGGGAAGAACAAACGUGUAAGUAACUGUGCACGUCUUGACGGUACCUAAUCAGAAAGCCACGGCUAACUACGUG
rnacentral:rRNA from 1 species